rnacentral:misc_RNA from 1 species
GUGAGUCAUCGAAUCUUUGAACGCACAUUGCGCCUCCCUCACGGGAGGCAUGCCUGUCUGAGCGUCGUUUGAACCCAUGGAGCCCUCCCGGGGGCCUCCGCGUUGGGCCUCGCGCGUGGGCGCGUCGCCUCGAACGGAUCGGUCGAGAGGGCGGACGAGAUCCACUAGGACCCGAGCCGCGCAGAAGACCAUAAAACUCAGAGUCGACCUCAGAUCAGGUAGGGACACCGCCUGAACUUAAGCAUAUCAAUAAGCGGAGGA